AUUUAAAUAAUUUAAUAAAAAUAUUGAUUUGUGGAGUCAAAAAUAUGAGGAGUUUAUCAUUUUAAAUC
rnacentral:tRNA from 1 species